rnacentral:rRNA from 1 species
AGUCACUGACAUUAGAUACCCGCGUAGUCCAGGGUGUAAACGCUGCGGGCUUGGUGUUGGGGGUCCUUUGAGGGCGCCCAGUGCCGGAGAGAAGUUGUUAAGCCUGCUGCUUGGGGAGUACGUCCGCAAGGAUGAAACUUAAAGGAAUUGGCGGGGGAGCACAACAACGGGUGGAGCUUGCGGUUUAAUUGGAUUCAACGCCGGAAAUCUUACCGGGACCGACAGCAACAUGAAGGCCAAGCUGAAGACUUUGCCGGAUUAGCUG